rnacentral:rRNA from 1 species
GUGGGGAAUCUUGCGCAAUGGGCGAAAGCCUGACGCAGCCAUGCCGCGUGAAUGAUGAAGGUCUUAGGAUUGUAAAAUUCUUUCACCGGGGACGAUAAUGACGGUACCCGGAGAAGAAGCUCCGGCUAACUUCGUGCCAGCAGCCGCGGUAAUACGAAGGGGGCUAGCGUUGCUCGGAAUUACUGGGCGUAAAGGGCGCGUAGGCGGACAGCUUAGUCAGAGGUGAAAGCCCAGGGCUCAACCUUGGAAUUGCCUUUGAUACUGGCUGUCUUGAGUGUGGGAGAGGUGAGUGGAACUCCGAGUGUAGAGGUGAAAUUCGUAGAUAUUCGGAAGAACACCAGUGGCGAGGGCGACUCACUGGCCCAAUACUGACGCUGAGGCGCGAAAGCGUGGGGAGCAAACAGGAUUAGAUACCCCAGUAGUCC